ensembl:lncRNA
UUAACUCCCCUCUAAUUGGAUUUGUGGUUAUUUUCUAGAUACUUCUUAAGCCUGUUACUGGCAUUUCAAGAAAGCAAUGGGACAGCCCAGAAGGGGGAGUUCACCUAUUCCAUCCCAUCAGCUCUCCAGGAAUGUUUUACUGCCUUCGAUAACCANCAGCAACACAAAGCUUUAUGGGAAAGUCAAAAGUUCAUCUGUAUCAGCUCCAAGAGUCAGAGGAUGAUUGCCUGUCCUCUCAGCAUCAGAAACAGAAGAAAGACCGGAGGAAGGAAGUAUGUGGACACGUGGCACCAUCAUAGGGUCUCCUCUGCCACAACAUCACACUCGCCCUUGGCUCGAUGGCAACUACAAUGCACAGUCCAGCAGUGGAACAAUGGCAAGGAGUGGAGUGAGGAGCAGGCUGCUCUCAAUGUACCUCCAGGUCAGCACAGCAAAAUGUUCUACU